AUUGAACGCUGGCGGCAGGCCUAACACAUGCAAGUCGAGCGGAGCGGCGGACGGGUGAGUACUGCCUAGGAAUCUGCCUGUUAGUGGGGGAUCACGUCCGGAAACGGGCGCUAAUACCGCAUACUAUCAGAUGAGCCUAGGUCGGAUUAGCUAGUUGGUGGGGUAAAGGCCUACCAAGGCGACGAUCCGUACCUGGUCUGAGAGGGUGAUCAGUCACACUGGAACUGAGACACGGUCCAGACUCCUACGGGAGGCAGCAGUGGGGAAUAUUGGGCAAUGGGCGAAAGCCUGAUCCAGCCAUGCCGCGUGUGUGAAGAAGGUCUUCGGAUCGUAAAGCACUUUAGGUUGGGAGGCGGUACCAACAGAAUAAGCACCGGCUAACUACGUGCCAGCAGCCGCGGUAAUAC
rnacentral:rRNA from 1 species